CACCAACAAGUGGUCGUGGCGAGAGAAGUGGCAGAUGAGGGAAACGAGUUACAAAUAAUACCCCCAUGGGAUAUCCCAUGUUAUUUGCCGUGGCCAUUCCCCUGGCCACGACCAUGGCCAUGCCCUCCUCCACGACCACGACCACGACCACGACCUCGACCGCGCCCAUGCCCACCGCCACCUCCUCCACCAUGUCCUCCACCACCUCCACCUCCGCGCUCACCACCACCUCCACCUCCGCGCUCGCCACCGCCUCCACCACCAAGAUCACCCCCUCCUACACCGUUUUCGGGGUGCUCUAUUAGUGACCAACAAAAGGUGAAGAAAUGCAUGUUCAACACAACUUCAAUUGAUGCAUGUUGUCCGACAUUCAAGAGCAUACUUGGCACUAGUUGUCCUUGCUAUAAGUAUGCUGAGGAUUUAGACAAUCAAGUCUUGAUCACUCUUGAAGCUUAUUGUGAUGUCGAUAGCCCUUGUAGUGGUGUGCCGGUAAGUUAUUGUUUUUAGCCAUCUUUUAAUUAAGAUCGUUGACACGUACUUUAAGAAAAUUACUGUCUACAAUCAUUUUUAUAAAAUUCUACUAUUUGAGUAUAUGGGAACAUUUUCUUGAAAGGGUGGAAGUACUCAAGAAUUAAAAAAUUUAUAUUUGCUUAAUUUUUUUUAAAUGAUAAAUAUUUUGAUACGAUAUUUUAGCUAAUGUGACUAAUAAAAGUGACUAAAAGAGUAUGUGAAGUAAUUAUUUCAUAUUUAUGAAUACAGAGUCCCCCUCCUCCGGUGACUCCCACCCCGUUUUCGGAUAGUUGCUCAGCUAGUGACAAAGAAAAAGUGAAGACGUGCAUGUUCAACACAACUUCAAUUGACGCAUGCUGCCCAAUAUUCAAGAGCAUACUUGGCACUAGUUGUCCUUGCUAUAAGUAUGCUGAGGAUUUGGAUAAUCUAACCUUGAUCACUCUUGAAUCUUAUUGUGAUGUCGAUAGCCCUUGUACUGGUUUGCGUGCAAGUAAGUUAUCAUUUUUAUUUGACAUAUUAAGAUUUUGAUACACUCGUUAAAGAAAAUUACUAUCUACAAUAAUUUCUUGGGGUAGGAAAGUGGAAUUCAGAAAGAAAAAAAAAAAUGAUGUGUUGAUCUUAACUUUUGAAAAUGAUAAAUCUUUUUUUUUUUUUUUGGGGGGGGGGGGGGUUAAAAGUGAGAAAUCAUAAAAAUUCUAGUAAGAAAUAUUUUGAUGGUCCUCAUCAUAGAUUAAUUAUUUGGGGCCAAUUUGAAGAUAAUUACAUCUUGUUCAUUUUUUUUAUAUAGAUAUUUUGAGUUAAGAAAUAUAAAAAUUAAAGGUGUCAAUAUUAAUUAUUAACCAUAAGUUUUUAUAUUGUUUGGAAAAUCUUUCUAUUAAAGUGCCAUAUAUUUCUUUUUUGACAAUAAUAAUUAAAGUUAUUUUUCUAAUUAAU
rnacentral:lncRNA from 1 species